rnacentral:rRNA from 1 species
AAAGCCCUCAAAAAGUGGAGUAAAAACCUGAUCAAAGAGAGAAGAUUCUGCUCUGCAGUUGCCUCCGAGGUCAUAUUGCAGCUUGACCUCGCGAUGGAGAACCGGUCACUAACACAACAGGAGCUUGACUUGCGUGCGUUGCUAAAGGGGAGGCUGCUUGCCCUCGCUGCUAUUCAAAAAAUAAUAUGGAGGCAACGAUCAAGAUUAGUUUGGAUCAGAGUUGGCGACGCGAACACCAAGCUGUUUCACCUUCGCGCCAACAGCAGAAGAAGGAAGAAUCAUAUCCCCUUCCUUCAUCAUUGUGGCCAUGUUGCUUCUGACCAUGAGGAUAAGGCAGCAGUCCUCAAAAAUCACUUCAUCUCCUUGUUGGGUCAACCGGAAAGCGCCACUCUGCGAAUGAACUAG